rnacentral:rRNA from 1 species
GAUGAACGCUGGCGGCGUGCCUAAUACAUGCAAGUCGAGCGAACAGACGAGGAGCUUGCUCCUCUGACGUUAGCGGCGGACGGGUGAGUAACACGUGGAUAACCUACCUAUAAGACUGGGAUAACUUCGGGAAACCGGAGCUAAUACCGGAUAAUAUAUUGAACCGCAUGGUUCAAUAGUGAAAGACGGUUUUGCUGUCACUUAUAGAUGGAUCCGCGCCGCAUUAGCUAGUUGGUAAGGUAACGGCUUACCAAGGCAACGAUGCGUAGCCGACCUGAGAGGGUGAUCCGCCACACUGGAACUGAGCCACGGUCCAGACUCCUACGGGAGGCAGCAGUAGGGAAUCUUCCGCAAUGGGCGAAAGCUUGACGGAGCAACGCCGCGUGAGUGAUGAAGGUCUUCGGAUCGUAAAACUCUGUUAUUAGGGAAGAACAAAUGUGUAAGUAACUAUGCACGUCUUGACGGUACCUAAUCAGAAAGCCACGGCUAACUACGUG